AUUGAACGCUGGCGGCAUGCCUUACACAUGCAAGUCGAAUGGUAACAGGUCUUCGGAUGCUGACGAGUGGCGAGCGGGUGAGUAAUACAUCGGAACGUGCCCGAUCGUGGGGGAUAACGGAGCGAAAGCUUUGCUAAUACCGCAUACGAUCUACGGAUGAAAGCAGGGGACCGCAAGGCCUUGCGCGGACGGAGCGGCCGAUGGCAGAUUAGGUAGUUGGUGGGAUAAAAGCUUACCAAGCCGACGAUCUGUAGCUGGUCUGAGAGGACGACCAGCCACACUGGGACUGAGACACGGCCCAGACUCCUACGGGAGGCAGCAGUGGGGAAUUUUGGACAAUGGGCGAAAGCCUGAUUCAGCCAUGCCGCGUGCAGGAUGAAGGCCUUCGGGUUGUAAACUGCUUUUGUACGGAACGAAAAGCCUCUUUCUAAUAAAGAGAGGUCAUGACGGUACCGUAAGAAUAAGCACCGGCUAACUACGUGCCAGCCGCCGCCGUAAAAC
rnacentral:rRNA from 1 species